rnacentral:rRNA from 1 species
AUUGAACGCUGGCGGCAGGCCUAACACAUGCAAGUCGAGCGGGGUUUUCGGACCUAGCGGCGGACGGGUGAGUAAUGCGUAGGAAGCUGCCCGAUAGAGGGGGAUACCAGUUGGAAACGACUGUUAAUACCGCAUAAUGUCUACGGACCAAAGUGUGGGACCUUCGGGCCACAUGCUAUCGGAUGCGCCUACGUGGGAUUAGCUAGUUGGUGAGGUAAUGGCUCACCAAGGCGACGAUCUCUAGCUGGUUUGAGAGGAUGAUCAGCCACACUGGAACUGAGACACGGUCCAGACUCCUACGGGAGGCAGCAGUGGGGAAUAUUGGACAAUGGGCGCAAGCCUGAUCCAGCCAUGCCGCGUGUGUGAAGAAGGCCUUCGGGUUGUAAAGCACUUUCAGCGAGGAGGAAGGGUGGUGUGUUAAUAGCACAUCAUUUUGACGUUACUCGCAGAAGAAGCACCGGCUAACUCUGUGCCAGCAGCCGCAGUAAAAC